rnacentral:rRNA from 1 species
UACGUAGGGUGCGAGCGUUGUCCGGAAUUAUUGGGCGUAAAGAGCUCGUAGGCGGUUUGUCGCGUCUGCUGUGGAAACUGGAGGCUCAACCUCCAGCCUGCAGUGGGUACGGGCAGACUAGAGUGCGGUAGGGGAGAUUGGAAUUCCUGGUGUAGCGGUGGAAUGCGCAGAUAUCAGGAGGAACACCGAUGGCGAAGGCAGAUCUCUGGGCCGUAACUGACGCUGAGGAGCGAAAGCAUGGGGAGCGAACAGG